AAAAAAGAUGGAUUUGGCCAAAAACCCCAAAUAGGAUUGUAGGAAGAUCACCACUACCAUUCACCGAUCAAACCAUGGGAUUUGGAGAAGGAGAAAGAGAGUGGGUGAUGAUGAAACCCAGCCGCAGCGAUGAUGUGUUGGAGGCAGAGGAGCAGUUGAGGAUCGCCAGUAAGAUCAGGGAUCAUUUCGAUUCCAUGGCACCCAAACGACCCAUCAAGCCCAACCGCAGCGAACCUGAUUCUUCUUCUUCUUCUUCUACUGUGUCUUCCUUGGAUGGAGAAAACGUUCCUGAAUACCACAAGUUCCUAUCACUCAAAUCACAACAAUCUAAUCCAAUCUUUUCAGGUGGAUCAUCGUUAGUGCAAGAGGAGUUUGUAGAGACACCCUAUUACAAGGAGUUGAAAUCGAUUGACAAGCAACAUCACACGACAGGGAGUGGGUUUAUAAGGGUGGAAGAAAGCUUCGGAGAUGGAUAUGGUCUAGAGUUGGACAUGGGUGGACAUGAACAUGUGCGACGAGCAGGAAAGACGACGGUUUUCAGAAGCAAUCCAGCAACAAACGACUGGAUCCCUAGCACUGAAGUAGAAGGGGAGGUAGAUUCAAAAUUUCCGAUCUAGAAACUUUAGUGGGUGUUCAUCAAUCUUCGAAGCUGGGCGUAUGUUGAUAUUACAGCCAAUUUCGUCUCUUCCAAGCCCAGUCGGAGCGAGAGUUUAUUGGAUGACUGAGCCUUGCUUUCCUGCAUCUGUAUCUUCGACAGAAGAGAGAGAGAGAGAGACUUUUUGUUCUCUGGGAAACUGUAGACAUGUUUUUU